rnacentral:tRNA from 1 species
GGGGAUAUAGCUCAGUUGCUAGAGUGCUUGCCUUGCAUGCAAAAGUCCUGGGUCCAAUCCCCAUCACCA